rnacentral:tRNA from 2 species
UCUAAUAUGGCAGAUUAGUGCAAUAGAUUUAAGCUCCAUAUAUAAAGUAUUUUACUUUUAUUAGAA